GUGUCAGCAGCCGCGGUAAGACGGAGGGUGCAAGCGUUGUUCGGAAUCACUGGGCGUAAAGCGCGUGUAGGCGGUUUGGUAAGUCGAGUGUGAAAGCCCAAGGCUCAACCUUGGAAGUGCACUCGAAACUGUCAGGCUUGAGUACGGGAGAGGGAAGUGGAAUUCCUGGUGUAGAGGUGAAAUUCGUAGAUAUCAGGAGGAACACCGGUGGCGAAGGCGGCUUCCUGGACCGAUACUGACGCUGAGACGCGAAAGCGUGGGGAGCAAACAGGAUUAGAUACCCUGGUAGUCCACGCCGUAAACGGUGAGCACUAGGUGUAGCGGGUAUUGACCCCUGCUGUGCCGCAGCUAACGCAUUAAGUGCUCCGCCUGGGGAGUACGGCCGCAAGGUUAAA
rnacentral:rRNA from 1 species